UUCAAGAACGUUGAUGAAUAAAGGCAAAUAAGUUGUUAUAAACCAAGGCACAAAAAACAUAAUAUGAUUAUGUAAUGCACAAGUUUCAUAAAACUCUUGAGAAAUAUUAUUUAAAUCUUCUUUACUAUAAGUGUCAAAAAACCAAGUUUUAAACCGGUUCCAUUUUUCAUUUAAAAAUUCGUUUUAAAUAUAUUUUCUUGCCAGUGAACCUGGACUAAAAUCAAUUUGAUGUUCACUCAUCAUUAAGCA
rnacentral:lncRNA from 1 species